rnacentral:rRNA from 1 species
ACCCGCACAAGCGGUGGAGCAUGUGGUUAAUUCGAAGCAACGCGAAGAACCUUACCAGGUCUUGACAUCCCGAUGACCGGUCCGUAACGGGACCUUCUCUUCGGAGCAUCGGAGACAGGUGGUGCAUGGUUGUCGUCAGCUCGUGUCGUGAGAUGUUGGGUUAAGUCCCGCAACGAGCGCAACCCUUAUCUUUAGUAGCCAGCAUUUCGGAUGGGCACUCUAGAGAGACUGCCAGGGAUAACCUGGAGGAAGGUGGGGACGACGUCAAAUCAUCAUGCCCCUUAUGAUCUGGGCUACACACGUGCUACAAUGGUGACAACAAAGGGAAGCAACCCCGCGAGGGUAAGCAAAUCCCAUAAAAGUCAUCUCAGUUCGGAUUGUAGUCCGCAACUCGACUACAUGAAGCUGGAAUCGCUAGUAAUCGCGAAUCAGAAUGUCGCGGUGAAUACGUUCCCGGGUCUU